rnacentral:rRNA from 1 species
AACAAAGGGGGGGCCUGCCUAAUACAUGCAAGUCGAGCGGACCGACGGGAGCUUGCUCCCUUAGGUCAGCGGCGGACGGGUGAGUAACACGUGGGUAACCUGCCUGUAAGACUGGGAUAACUCCGGGAAACCGGGGCUAAUACCGGAUGCUUGAUUGAACCGCAUGGUUCAAUUAUAAAAGGUGGCUUUUAGCUACCACUUACAGAUGGACCCGCGGCGCAUUAGCUAGUUGGUGAGGUAACGGCUCACCAAGGCAACGAUGCGUAGCCGACCUGAGAGGGUGAUCGGCCACACUGGGACUGAGACACGGCCCAGACUCCUACGGGAGGCAGCAGUAGGGAAUCUUCCGCAAUGGACGAAAGUCUGACGGAGCAACGCCGCGUGAGUGAUGAAGGUUUUCGGAUCGUAAAACUCUGUUGUUAGGGAAGAACAAGUACCGUUCGAAUAGGGCGGUACCUUGACGGUACCUAACCAGAAAGCCACGGCUAACUACGUGCCAGCAGCCGCGGUAAUACGUAGGUGGCAAGCGUUGUCCGGAAUUAUUGGGCGUAAAGCGCGCGCAGGCGGUUUCUUAAGUCUGAUGUGAAAGCCCCCGGCUCAACCGGGGAGGGUCAUUGGAAACUGGGGAACUUGAGUGCAGAAGAGGAGAGUGGAAUUCCACGUGUAGCGGUGAAAUGCGUAGAGAUGUGGAGGAACACCAGUGGCGAAGGCGACUCUCUGGUCUGUAACUGACGCUGAGGCGCGAAAGCGUGGGGAGCGAACAGGAUUAGAUACCCUGGUAGUCCACGCCGUAAACGAUGAGUGCUAAGUGUUAGAGGGUUUCCGCCCUUUAGUGCUGCAGCAAACGCAUUAAGCACUCCGCCUGGGGAGUACGGUCGCAAGACUGAAACUCAAAGGAAUUGACGGGGGCCCGCACAAGCGGUGGAGCAUGUGGUUUAAUUCGAAGCAACGCGAAGAACCUUACCAGGUCUUGACAUCCUCUGACAACCCUAGAGAUAGGGCUUCCCCUUCGGGGGCAGAGUGACAGGUGGUGCAUGGUUGUCGUCAGCUCGUGUCGUGAGAUGUUGGGUUAAGUCCCGCAACGAGCGCAACCCUUGAUCUUAGUUGCCAGCAUUCAGUUGGGCCCUCUAAGGUGACUGCCGGUGACAAACCGGAGGAAGGUGGGGAUGACGUCAAAUCAUCAUGCCCCUUAUGACCUGGGCUACCACGUGCUACAAUGGGCAGAACAAAGGGCAACCAAACCCCGAGGCUAGCCAAUCCCCCA